rnacentral:rRNA from 1 species
CCAAAAUAUAUGUUAAGUGGAAAAGGAUGUGGCGUUGCCCAGACAACUAGGAUGUUGGCUUAGAAGCAGCCAUCAUUUAAAGAGUGCGUAAUAGCUCACUAGUCGAGUGACACUGCGCCGAAAAUGUACCGGGGCUAAACAUAUUACCGAAGCUGUGGAUUGUCCUUUGGACAAUGGUAGGAGAGCGUUCUAAGGGCGUCGAAGCAUGAUCGCAAGGACAUGUGGAGCGCUUAGAAGUGAGAAUGCCGGUGUGAGUAGCGAAAGACGGGUGAGAAUCCCGUCCACCGAUUGACUAAGGUUUCCAGAGGAAGGCUCGUCCGCUCUGGGUUAGUCGGGUCCUAAGCUGAGGCCGACAGGCGUAGGCGAUGGAUAACAGGUUGAUAUUCCUGUACCACCUAGUAUCGUUUUAAUCGAUGGGGGGACGCAGUAGGAUAGGCGAAGCGUGCUGUUGGAGUGCACGUCCAAGCAGUAAGGCUGAGUGUUAGGCAAAUCCGGCACUCAUAAGGCUGAGCUGUGAUGGGGAGAGGAAAUUGUUUCCUCGAGUCGUUGAUUUCACACUGCCGAGAAAAGCCUCUAGAUAGAUAACAGGUGCCCGUACCGCAAACCGACACAGGUAGUCAAGAUGAGAAUUCUAAGGUGAGCGAGCGAACUCUCGUUAAGGAACUCGGCAAAAUGACCCCGUAACUUCGGGAGAAGGGGUGCUCUUUAGGGUUCACGCCCAGAAGAGCCGCAGUGAAUAGGCCCAAGCGACUGUUUAUCAAAAACACAGGUCUCUGCUAAACCGUAAGGUGAUGUAUAGGGGCUGACGCCUGCCCGGUGCUGGAAGGUUAAGAGGAGUGGUUAGCUUCUGCGAAGCUACGAAUCGAAGCCCCAGUAAACGGCGGCCGUAACUAUAACGGUCCUAAGGUAGCGAAAUUCCUUGUCGGGUAAGUUCCGACCCGCACGAAAGGCGUAACGAUUUGGGCACUGUCUCAACGAGAGACUCGGUGAAAUCAUAGUACCUGUGAAGAUGCAGGUUACCCGCGACAGGACGGAAAGACCCCGUGGAGCUUUACUGUAGCCUGAUAUUGAAAUUCGGCACAGCUUGUACAGGAUAGGUAGGAGCCUUUGAAACGUGAGCGCUAGCUUACGUGGAGGCGUUGGUGGGAUACUACCCUAGCUGUGUUGGCUUUCUAACCCGCACCACUUAUCGUGGUGGGAGACAGUGUCAGGCGGGCAGUUUGACUGGGGCGGUCGCCUCCUAAAAGGUAACGGAGGCGCUCAAAGGUUCCCUCAGAAUGGUUGGAAAUCAUUCAUAGAGUGUAAAGGCAUAAGGGAGCUUGACUGCGAGACCUACAAGUCGAGCAGGGUCGAAAGACGGACUUAGUGAUCCGGUGGUUCCGCAUGGAAGGGCCAUCGCUCAACGGAUAAAAGCUACCCCGGGGAUAACAGGCUUAUCUCCCCCAAGAGUUCACAUCGACGGGGAGGUUUGGCACCUCGAUGUCGGCUCAUCGCAUCCUGGGGCUGUAGUCGGUCCCAAGGGUUGGGCUGUUCGCCCAUUAAAGCGGUACGCUAGCUGGGUUCAGAACGUCGUGAGACAGUUCGGUCCCUAUCCGUCGUGGGCGUAGGAAAUUUGAGAGGAGCUGUCCUUAGUACGAGAGGACCGGGAUGGACAUACCUCUGGUGUACCAGUUGUCGUGCCAACGGCAUAGCUGGGUAGCUAUGUAUGGACGGGAUAAGUGCUGAAAGCAUCUAAGCAUGAAGCCCCCCUCAAGAUGAGAUUUCCCAACUUCGGUUAUAAGAUCCCUCGAAGAUGACGAGGUUAAUAGGUUCGAGGUGGAAGCGUGGUGACACGUGGAGCUGACGAAUACUAAUCGAUCGAAGACUUAAUCAAUUUUUAAA